rnacentral:rRNA from 1 species
ACGGAAGGCAGCAGUGGGGAAUAUUGCACAAUGGGGGAAACCCUGAUGCAGCGACGCCGCGUGAGUGAAGAAGUAUUUCGGUAUGUAAAGCUCUAUCAGCAAGGAAGAAAAUGACGGUACUUGACUAAGAAGCCCCGGCUAACUACGUGCCAGCAGCCGCGGUAAUACGUAGGGGGCAAGCGUUAUCCGGAUUUACUGGGUGUAAAGGGAGCGUAGACGGUGAGGCAAGUCUGAAGUGAAAUGCGGAGGCUCAACCUCCGAACUACUUUGGAAACUGUCUAACUUGAGUGCAGGAGAGGUAAGUGGAAUUCCUAGUGUAGCGGUGAAAUGCGUAGAUAUUAGGAGGAACACCAGUGGCGAAGGCGGCUUACUGGACUGUAACUGACGUUGAGGCUCGAAAGCGUGGGGAGCAAACAGGAUUAGAUACCCUGGUA